GGUAGUUUGUUGUAAAGGUAACAUACAAGUCUCAUCAUCUUGUGAUUUAGGUUCAAAUCCUAAGACUGCCU